GGUGUGUCUCCCACAUCCGUGAUGGCUGCCACGGUGCCUACCUUUAAUCACAUGCUUUCUGAUUUCUGACUAGGGGAAGGAAUUGAAUAUUUUUGGCCCACAAAAGGAGAGUCUGGAAUAUAGGAGGGGAUUAAUAUAUACAAAGAAACCUACCAAAAACAAAACUAAAGGAAGUAAAACAGAAAAAGGAGAAAGAAAAGGGUUGAACCCAAUUUCCUUCUAAAAAGGGAACAGGACGCUUUUAUUCCAGAAAUGAAAAUGGACUGAAACCUAAAAUCAAUUCUCUACUAUUUCUGAUUUUUUCGGAUUUGAAAACGAGCCUAAGCCCAUGCCAUUUCAGGGUAUUCCUCUCAAGCAGAAACAGGGAAAAGAAAGCUGCCCCAUCCCUUCUUCUCUUGGCUAGCCGCGCAGGGAAAGGAUCCUCCUCUUUAGCAACAAGAUUCACGCCGAGAGAAAGGUUCAUCCGAAGCAACCCUUCCUAUCCCGGUGACCGUGUUCGCGAGGAAGAGUUCGCGGUUGUGAAGCCAACGGGGACCUUCCGGCAGCGAGGGUGGCGAGAGCGACGAUGAUUAAACCCGAUUGGACGAGAUUCGGAGGGAAGGUCAAGAUAAUGGAGAGUGGCUCUUGGCGGCGGUAAGGGAGAUUCAAGGUGGUGUAGAUGGUGGAGUUGAACGGAGGUGGGUUGGAGAUUCACGAUGCGGCUGUGAUGAAGGAGAAGACGGCGACGCAAUGGAGGCAGUGAGGCGCGCUACGGCGGCUGACGACGGCUUGGAGAAGGGGCGAAGGCGGAGGGGAGGCGCGAUGGUUCAGGGCAGAUGAACAUGGUGAUGCUGAGGCGCAAUUCACGGUAGCUGCUUAAAUGUGGUGGAAGUUGCGGUGGAGAUGAGUGGAGGUUCACGGCACUGCCGUGAUGAAGGAGAAGACGGUGCCACGAUGAUGGAGGAAUGAACCUAGGUUUGAGAAUUUACGGUGUUUGUUCAAACUCCCGGUGACUCAUGGUUGCUAUGGAGGCAAGGAAAUUUGCUAUGGUGGCUGAUGAUGGUUCGAAGAGGAGGAUGAGGGUGGUUCGGCAAAUUGAAAAAGGAUUGAAGGGUUCACAGUGGCUUAGCCAUUUCUGGUUUUGUGACUUUCUUCUUGCAGGUUUGAGUGGAUAAACAAGGAUGCCGGUGAAGUGAUGGCAGGGAGGUAUGGUUGAUUGGUUACGAGUUGGGUGAUGCGGCUCACAUCCACGGUGCACGGUGCGGCGGUAACUGAAGGCAAGGUUUGCGAGGAGGAGAAGUUGAUGUCGAUGAUGGCGGGUGAGGACGACAGUGCUGUGAGAGGCACCUUAGAUGAGUAGAAGACUCUAUCUUGCACUUUUCUUUUAUGAUUGAAUUAAAGAAUGGCAAUGAAAGAAACUUUGAACCUGAUUGAAUCCAAUUUUGGCCUGGGGUUUGUGAUUUGGUCGCCAUUGGUUUGUUAGAUGCAGGGGAAGGGUGAGCUGGAGAUUAAAUGAAGAUCACGCUUUGCUUGAUGCAUUAUGGAGUCAUGAAAGAUUGGAUUCGGGUGAAGAGAAUUUCAUCCUCAAAUUGAAAACCCUCCCCAAAUUGAAAACCCUCGAAGCUAGGUUCGAGAGGGUUGAGAGAAAUGCGAAGAGAGUUCCAUGGUUCCUUGGCGAAGAUGCACUAGGAGGUUCUAUUCAUGGACCAGAGGCACUAGGAGGUUCGAUUCAUAGACCAGAGGUUGCCUACAAAGGAUUGAAGCUGCAAAAAGGGGCUGCAAAACGGGGCUGAUUGAGGGGCGCGAACAAAACCUUUGUUAAAGUUGCCGUUAAAGGCUCACCGUUGUCGAAGCGCUAUUGUUGAAGGUUCGCCGCUGUUGUCGCACUCUGUUGUAACACUUCUCCUUUAGCUGUAACUGUGCAACCCAAAGGAAACCUCCAAGUUCCAUUGCUUUCAGGAUAAGAUGGAUAUCUUAGCUCCCCACAAGGACCUAUCCCCACUUGAAUUUCCUGCAAAUGAAUUUAGUCUCAGUACUUCAUAUCUGAAACAAAUUCCUUAGUUCCUAGUUUAUUAUCAAUUUAUAAGUGCUUUCCCUCCAUUCCCCUUAAACUUGUAUGUUCCUUGCUGUUUAUUCUUCUAUUACAGUAGAAGUGUCUUUAAAAUUUUACUGACUCAUCAGAGAUGUAACCAUGGAUAUGAUGUUACAGGUGAAUUCUUGGCACUUACUGGAGAUUUACACGUAAAUAAUUAUCUUAAAAAUUUGUUGAUUUAUUGUAUCAGGAGAGGAUAUUGACAUGUCUGUAAGUGUUUUUGAAUUGAACUCCUAUUUGUACAUAAUGCACUUUCGUCUAAACACUAUACAUGUGUUCUUUGCUAUUGACCCAAAAUUUGAGAGGGAUCCAAAAAGGAAUGGUAUCAAUAACAUUAUGUUAUUAUAUACCUUCUUCAAGGUUUGUAAGGAAUAAGACCAACUUGAAUGUUCAUUUGAAA